CGGCGGAACUGCAGAGGUAAACUUUAUGUAAAUGCCACAAAGUAAUAGACUUGUAGUGCAAAUCACACCAUUUUAUCUUUAAUUUUGCCGAGCCGCCCCUUCCCGGCAUCCUCUCGGCAUCUCCACGGCACGUCCCAUCUCUCCCUCCCCCAAAGUCCUCUUUCCGUGGGCUUAAAGGUGCAUCGGAGAUAUGCAUUUAAGCAUAUUCAGAACACGGGUGACGGGAAGGUGGUCCGGAGGAGGGGAGCAGAAGCGGCGGAACUGCAGAGAUGGGGAAUUUCUUACAAUGUUUAUAUGCGAUGAAAUGUCUGAGUAAUUCAUACUCAUUCUGGAUGACAACUAUUGACUCCUUUUUUGGCAUCUGAGACAAAGUUGAAACUUCAAAGAUACAGCGUUGAAUUUCCAAAGGUAUGAAAAAG
rnacentral:lncRNA from 1 species